rnacentral:rRNA from 1 species
UACAGAGGGGGCAAGCGUUAUUCGGAAUUCUUGGGCGUAAAUGGCGCGUAGGCGGCUUCGCAAGUGGAAGGUGAAAUCCCUCGGCUUAACCGAGGAACUGCCCCCCAAACUGCUUUGCUUGAGGCCGGGAGAGGCGAGUGGAAUUCCCAGUGUAGCGGUGAAAUGCGUAGAUAUUGGGAGGAACACCAGUGGCGAAGGCGGCUCGCUGGACCGGUUCUGACGCUGAGGCGCGAAAGCGUGGGGAGCAAACGGG